rnacentral:rRNA from 1 species
GAUGAACGCUGGCGGCGUGCCUAAUACAUGCGAGUCGAGCGAACGGACGAGAAGCUUGUUUCUCUGAUGUUAGCGGCGGACGGGUGAGUAACACGUGGAUAACCUACCUAUAAGACUGGGAUAACUUCGGGAAACCGGAGCUAAUACCGGAUAAUAAUUUGAACCGCAUGGUUCAAAAGUGAAAGACGGUCUUGCUGUCACCUAUAGAUGGAUCCGCGCUGCAUUAGCUAGUUGGUAAGGUAACGGCUUACCAAGGCAACGAUGCAUAGCCGACCUGAGAGGGUGAUCGGCCACACUGGAACUGAGACACGGUCCAGACUCCUACGGGAGGCAGCAGUAGGGAAUCUUCCGCAAUGGGCGAAAGCCUGACGGAGCAACGCCGCGUGGGUGAUGAAGGUCUUCGGAUCUUAAAACUCUGUUAUUAGGGAAGAACAUAUGUGUAAGUAACUGUGCACAUCUUGACGGUACCUAAUCAGAAAGCCACGGCUAACUACGUG